UACGGAGGGUGCAAGCGUUAUCCGGAUUUACUGGGUUUAAAGGGUGCGUAGGUGGGCAGGAAAGUCUGUCGUGAAAGCCCCGGGCUCAACCUGGGAAUGGCGAUGGAUACUGGCUCGCUAGAGUGCGGUAGAGGAGAGUGGAAUUCCCGGUGUAGCAGUGAAAUGCGUAGAGAUCGGGAGGAACAUCAGUUGCGAAGGCGGCUCUCUGGACCAGCACUGACACUGAGGCACGAAAGCGUGGGGAGCAAACAGG
rnacentral:rRNA from 1 species